rnacentral:rRNA from 1 species
AGAUUGAACGCUGGCGGCAGGCCUAACACAUGCAAGUCGAGCGGCAGCACGGGUACUUGUACCUGGUGGCGAGCGGCGGACGGGUGAGUAAUGCCUAGGAAUCUGCCUGAUAGUGGGGGGAUAACGUUCGGAAACGGACGCUAAUACCGCAUACGUCCUACGGGAGAAAGUGGGGGAUCUUCGGACCUCACGCUAUCAGAUGAGCCUAGGUCGAUUAGCUAGUGUAGGUAAAGCUACCAAGGCUACGAUCCGUAAUGGUCUGAGAGGAUGAUCAGUCACACUGGAACUGAGACACGGUCCAGACUCCUACGGGAGCAGCAGUGGGAAUAGUUGGACAAGUCGGGACAAAGUCCUAGACUCCGAGCCAGU